AUCUUCUUACAUUUUGGCGCAAGAGAGAGAGAGAAAAUAUUCUCUCUAGGGUCUCUCCCUAAAACCUUCUUUAACCUAGCCGCCGCUCUUCUCAACUCAACUAUCUCGGUGGCCGGAUGCUCCUGCUCCGGUCGCCACCCCUCACCGUCCCGUACCGUUACCCAAGCCUUUCCCCUUAGUCUCCUCUCCGUUUACUCCUCCUCUUUGUCGGUUGUCUCUGGAUUUUUGCCGAUUCUCGGUGAAUCUAAAUAGGAGCCACUCGUGUGUGUGUGUUGCCUCUGGAGCGCUGACGAGGUGUAGUUCCGUCGGGGAGUCUAAGGAGCCUUCGACUGCAGCCCUUCUCGUCAAAUCGGAGCAGAUCUGGGUCAGAUCUGACCUCGUCCCGCCGGUAAGGAUGGUGUAGCGUCGCUGCCUCCUCUUCCCCUUUUCGGUUUGGCUUGUACCCGUACGACCUUUAGUGGUCUGUCUCUCAAGGCUCUGUAGAGCUUCUCUUCCUCUGUUUGGAGUGAUGGCGGUGUUUAGGCUCACCGAUUCAGAGGACCUCUUUUUUUAGUUUCAAGUAAAGAUAGCCUGGUGUCUCACAGGUGACUCUGCGAAGUCCCUCUUCUUGCUUUCUGAUUCCGGUUCACAGGGUCCUGAGGACAACCCGCUGCAACCGUGUCGUCGGCUUAAGAUGGUGACCUCGCUAACCUGUUGCCUCACCUGUUGUUGAGGAGAUUCUCGAUCUCCUUCUGUACUUCAUCCUCGAUUUCCUAGCUCCGGCGAAGCCGAGUGUUUACACUUGAUGUCUCCUCUGCUCUGUUGUGUCGCGUGGCCGGAGGGAGCUUAUUAUACCGCCUGCGCUUGACUGAAUCAGUUCUUCAUCUCCUGCGAGGAAACGUCGGGUUUGUGCUUUGGUCUAUCACCGAGUUAGCUUUGGGUUUCUUUGCUCGACGUCCUCCUCCUAUGGUGUACCGGAGCCGUUGCCUGUCGCCUCCGUUGAAGCCUCUUGGAGCCACCUCUGGGUGAGAGUUCGUGCAUUUUGCCUCUUAGUUUUACUCUUGUCUCUUCUCUGAAGCAACAAGAAGCGCUUGGAUUUGAGUUGCAUUGUCUUUGCUUGUUCUAUUGUGUUGUGAAUGUCAAGAAAACCAUUAUUGGUAAGCUUGAUGUUACUUUUCUGUUUCAUAGAUGUUUUUUAUCUUUUUUGCGGCAUCUACGAACAAACCAGCUUGUUAGCAGAAUCUGGUUCAAUCUGAUUGUAACCAAACCUUUGUUCCUUUGGAAUAAUAUUUACAAUUUAGCAAAAAAAAAAAAAUAAUAAAAAAUAAAAAGGUACGACGAC
rnacentral:lncRNA from 1 species